AUUGAACGCUGGCGGCAGGCCUAACACAUGCAAGUCGAGCGAGCGGCGGACGGGUGAGUACUGUAUGGGUACCUGCCCGAUAGAGAGGGCUAACUACUGGAAACGGUGGCUAAGCCCGCAUACUGUUGGAUGUACCCAGAUGGGAUUAGCUAGUGGGUGAGGUAACGGCUGACCCGGGCGACGAUCCCUAGCUGGUCUGAGAGGAUGAUCAGGCACACUGGGACUGAGACACGGUCCGGACUCCUACGGGAGGCAGCAGUGGGGAAUAUUGCACAAUGGGCGAAAGCCUGAUGCAGCCAUGCCGCGUGUGUGAAGAAGGCCUUAGGGUUGUAAAGUAUUUUCAGUCGGGAGGCGUUACCGACAGAAGAAGCACCGGCUAACUCCGUGCCAGCAGCCGCGGUAAUUC
rnacentral:rRNA from 1 species